GACGAACCACACAAACGUUGUUCGGAAUCACUGGGCUUAAAGGGCGCGUAGGCGGGCCGCCAAGUCCGCGGUGAAAUCCCCCGGCUCAACCGGGGAAUUGCCGCGGAUACUGGAGGUCUCGAGGGGGGUAGGGGCAUGCGGAACUGCGGGUGGAGCGGUGAAAUGCGUUGAUAUCCGCAGGAACUCCGGUGGCGAAGGCGGCGUGCUGGACCCUUUCUGACGCUGAGGCGCGAAAGCCAGGGGAGCGAACGGG
rnacentral:rRNA from 1 species